GAUGAAGAACGUAGCGAAAUGCGAUACUUGGUGUGAAUUGCAGAAUCCCGUGAACCAUCGAGUCUUUGAACGCAAGUUGCGCCCGAAGCCAUCAGGUUGAGGGCACGUCUGCCUGGGCGUCACACAUCGUUGCCCAAUGCCUAUUGCAGUGCAAUAGGAAUUUCUAGGGCGAAUGAUGGCUUCCCGUGAGCGUUGUUGCCUCGCGGUUGGUUGAAAAUCGAGUCCUUGGUAGGGUGUGCCAUGGUAGAUGGUGGUCGAGUUAGAACGAUACCGAUCAUGUGCAUGCUCCCCAAAAUAUGGCCUCUAUGACCCACACGCGUCUUUUGACGCUCAUGACGAGACCUCAGGUCAGGCGGGGCUACCCGCUGAAUUUAAGCAUAUCAAUAAGCGGAGGA
rnacentral:misc_RNA from 1 species